rnacentral:lncRNA from 1 species
CAAAACAUAGAGGAAUCUACCACAACAAUUAAUUAAUGAGCUCAGGUGGAAUCAAGUUACACUUGGCAACAUUCAUGAAAAUGAAUAAGGAAUGUGCUCAUGGUGCAAAGUACAAACUCCCACUCACCUGUCAAUCUGGCACGGCCUCGAUAUACCUCCAAAAAUCUACAGUAGGCAGUGGAAAACUUCUUCUUCUUGUUUCCUAGCUUCUUGCCCAACUGUGACAUGCAUUUAUAAUACAUUUAGUCAUGUAUCAAAGGUCAUAAUCUACGUGCCAAUUAUAACAUAGGAAACUUUAAUUGAUUCAACUCCUCCGUUCCCUAAAUCUUUUCUUUUCUUGCUUAUUUUCUUUUUAAUUAAUUAACUCACCAUUUAUGUGUAUUAGAGACUCCCUUGCAUGAGUACAAGGUCCCUUUUAGCUUGAUCUAGGCUUCAUACUCUAUUAUAGCAUGAAAUCCCUUAUUUUCCACCCGGAUGAACAGUAACCCGGACCGACAGCCGGUUACUUCAUCCCGGGUUUGAUCCACUUUCCAGACUUCAAAUUUGAUGAAAUUUUUACCUAACAUCCUACGCUCAUAGA